CGCGCAGACCGCCUUAUCGUCGUUCCAUACCGAUAGCUAUCGGGACUGGGAGGGAGGAAAGUCCGGACACCACAGAGAAGCAUAGCGGGUAACACCCGUCGGCGUUAGAAAUAGCGCAAGGACAAGUGCAACAGAAAGUAUGUACAGGUAAUGCUGUAGUGAAACCAGGUAAACUCUAUGCGGUGAAAUACCAAGUAUAUCAGCAUUUAAGGGCUUCUCGUUCGUUGCUGAAGGGUAGGUAGCUUGAGUUCCGGAGUAAUUCGGAAUCUAGAUAAAUGAUAAGGCCCUGAUUUAUCAGGGACAGAAUCCGGCUUACAGGUCUGCAUUUUUU
rnacentral:RNase_P_RNA from 1 species